GACGAACCGUGCGAACGUUGUUCGGAUUCACUGGGCUUAAAGGGCGCGUAGGCGGGCGGUCAAGUCAAGGGUGAAAUCUUUCAGCUCAACUGGAAAAGUGCCUUUGAUACUGAUCGUCUUGAGGGAGGUAGGGGCAUGUGGAACUUCCGGUGGAGCGGUGAAAUGCGUAGAUAUCGUCUGGAACGCCGAAGGUGAAAACAGCUCGCUGGGGCUGCGCUGACGCUGAGACACGAAAGCCAGGGGAGCGAACGGG
rnacentral:rRNA from 1 species